CCUACGGGUGGCUGCAGUGAGGAAUAUUGGUCAAUGGCCGCAUGGCUGAACCAGCCAAGUCGCGUGAGGGAUGACGGUCCUAUGUAUUGUAAACCUCUUUUGUCAGGGAGCAAAGGGCGCCACGUGUCGCCUUUUGCGAGUACCUGAAGAAAAAGCAUCGGCUAACUCCGUGCCAGCAGCCGCGGUAAUACGGAAGGUCCGGGCGUUAUCCGGAUUUAUUGGGUUUAAAGGGAGCGUAGGCCGCAUGUCAAGCGUGCUGUGAACUGUCCGGGCUCAACCCGGGCCUUGCAGCGCGAACUGGCGUGCUUGAGUCCGCGGAAAGCAGGCGGAAUUCGUCGGGUAGCGGUGAAAUGCUUAGAUAUGACGAAGAACCCCGAUUGCGAAGGCAGCUUGCUGCAGCGGAACUGACGCUGAUGCUCGAAAGCGCGGGUAUCGAACAGGAUUAGAUACCCGGGUAGUC
rnacentral:rRNA from 1 species